rnacentral:rRNA from 1 species
AGAGUUUGAUCCUGGCUCAGGACGAACGCUGGCGGCGUGCCUAAUACAUGCAAGUCGAGCGAACAGAAGGGAGCUUGCUCCCGGAUGUUAGCGGCGGACGGGUGAGUAACACGUGGGUAACCUGCCUGUAAGACUGGGAUAACUCCGGGAAACCGGAGCUAAUACCGGAUAGUUCCUUGAACCGCAUGGUUCAAGGAUGAAAGACGGUUUCGGCUGUCACUUACAGAUGGACCCGCGGCGCAUUAGCUAGUUGGUGGGGUAAUGGCUCACCAAGGCGACGAUGCGUAGCCGACCUGAGAGGGUGAUCGGCCACACUGGGACUGAGACACGGCCCAGACUCCUACGGGAGGCAGCAGUAGGGAAUCUUCCGCAAUGGACGAAAGUCUGACGGAGCAACGCCGCGUGAGUGAUGAAGGUUUUCGGAUCGUAAAGCUCUGUUGUUAGGGAAGAACAAGUGCGAGAGUAACUGCUCGCACCUUGACGGUACCUAACCAGAAAGCCACGGCUAACUACGUGCCAGCAGCCGCGGUAAUACGUAGGUGGCAAGCGUUGUCCGGAAUUAUUGGGCGUAAAGGGCUCGCAGGCGGUUUCUUAAGUCUGAUGUGAAAGCCCCCGGCUCAACCGGGGAGGGUCAUUGGAAACUGGGAAACUUGAGUGCAGAAGAGGAGAGUGGAAUUCCACGUGUAGCGGUGAAAUGCGUAGAGAUGUGGAGGAACACCAGUGGCGAAGGCGACUCUCUGGUCUGUAACUGACGCUGAGGAGCGAAAGCGUGGGGAGCGAGCAGGAUUAGAUACCCUGGUAGUCCACGCCGUAAACGAUGAGUGCUAAGUGUUAGGGGGUUUCCGCCCCUUAGUGCUGCAGCUAACGCAUUAAGCACUCCGCCUGGGGAGUACGGUCGCAAGACUGAAACUCAAAGGAAUUGACGGGGGCCCGCACAAGCGGUGGAGCAUGUGGUUUAAUUCGAAGCAACGCGAAGAACCUUACCAGGUCUUGACAUCCUCUGACAACCCUAGAGAUAGGGCUUUCCCUUCGGGGACAGAGUGACAGGUGGUGCAUGGUUGUCGUCAGCUCGUGUCGUGAGAUGUUGGGUUAAGUCCCGCAACGAGCGCAACCCUUGAUCUUAGUUGCCAGCAUUUAGUUGGGCACUCUAAGGUGACUGCCGGUGACAAACCGGAGGAAGGUGGGGAUGACGUCAAAUCAUCAUGCCCCUUAUGACCUGGGCUACACACGUGCUACAAUGGACAGAACAAAGGGCUGCAAGACCGCAAGGUUUAGCCAAUCCCAUAAAUCUGUUCUCAGUUCGGAUCGCAGUCUGCAACUCGACUGCGUGAAGCUGGAAUCGCUAGUAAUCGCGGAUCAGCAUGCCGCGGUGAGUACGUUCCCGGGUCUUGUACACACGC